CUUUCUUUGCUGGCGACCGGCGUACGGGUGAGUAACACGUAUCCAACCUGCCCUUUACUCGGGGAUAGCCUUUCGAAAGAAAGAUUAAUACCCGAUAGCAUAAUGAUUCCGCAUGGUUUCAUUAUUAAAGGAUUCCGGUAAAGGAUGGGGAUGCGUUCCAUUAGGUUGUUGGUGAGGUAACGGCUCACCAAGCCUUCGAUGGAUAGGGGUUCUGAGAGGAAGGUCCCCCACAUUGGAACUGAGACACGGUCCAA
rnacentral:rRNA from 1 species